AACGAACGCUGGCGGCAGGCCUAACACAUGCAAGUCGAACGCACUCUUCGGAGUGAGUGGCAGACGGGUGAGUAACGCGUGGGAAUCUACCUAGUGGUGGGGGAUAACUUCGGGAAACCGGAGCUAAUACUCCAUAAGCCCUUCGGGGGAAAGUUUUUCGCCAUUAGAUGAGCCCGCGUUAGAUUAGCUAGUUGGUAGGGUAAUGGCCUACCAAGGCGACGAUCUAUAGCUGGUCUGAGAGGAUGAUCAGCCACACUGGGACUGAGACACGGCCCAGACUCCUACGGGAGGCAGCAGUGGGGAAUAUUGCACAAUGGGCGCAAGCCUGAUGCAGCCAUGCCGCGUGUGUGAUGAAGGCCUUAGGGUUGUAAAACACUUUCAUCGGUGAAGAUAAUGACGGUAGCCGAAGAAGAAGCCCCGGCUAACUCCGUGCCAGCCGCCGCCGUAACAC
rnacentral:rRNA from 1 species